UUACCAUUUACCUGCCAGUGAGAAAGGAGAAGAAAAAACAUAGAGGGGAGCCAGUUUUCAUUGUAAGGCUGGGACCUGGAUGUGGUGCCCAUCACUUCUAUGAGCCUGAGCUGAUUGGCGUGGCCACUCCUAGCUGUAAGGGAGGCUGGGAACUACACUGCCCUCUCCAACUGCCUGCCCUGCUCCUGCUCCAGGAUGCCCCGUGUUACUGAAAAGAAGAGGGUAAACGGGGAUGGGGGCAAUUAGAAGUCUCUGCCACUGCUUAUCAUAAUGUGUGUGGCACCUCUCGUCUCUCUCUUUCUCCUGCUCCCACCAUGAAAGACGUGCUUGCUUCCCUUCACCUUCUGCCAUGACUCUAAGUUUCCU
rnacentral:lncRNA from 1 species